CUGACCCCUUGUCCAGCCUCUGCAAUUUCACAGUUUCAUUGCAGACUCUCCUGCUUCUUGCUGUUCCCGACGCGAUGAGCCUGGAUUGGACCCGGCCAGGAUUUUGUGGUUGUCCUUUGCCAUGACUGGGUUCCAGGAGGAAGCUGCCCCUCUCCACUCUGACCUCCUUGGCCAUAGAGGCCAUGAGUGCCCCGGGCAGGAGUCAGGCCAUACACCUCACCGGAUGGGAAGUGCCUAUCGCGGGCGCUGGAGAUCAGGAGGCGUCUGGAAAAAGACCAGGAAUCUGAAAGGACAUCAAGGAGUGGCCAUGAACGCACCAUGUGCCAUGAGGUCAUGGAGACCAUAACACGGCGGGGAUGCUGGAGAAACUGCCCAUGUCUUACCCUCCCAGGGACACAGUACUCUUCCUGGAUACAUGGAAGCAUUCGUUCAUUCAUUUUACAAAAUAUAUUGCUUUUCUAUAAAGAACACAGGAUUAUAAAGAUAUAUUAACUGUAUCCCCAGCUGCCCCUAAGAAUGUUACUGAGACAGACCAAAACUAAAAUACUAACAGCAACCAACUAGACACGCAAACAACCAAAACACUCACCCUGUCCCACGCUAAGGGAAACAGCGGGAUCGUAGGGACCGGUGUCCAAACAAGACUACGUGCUUAGGGAUGGUUUAGUAAAAAGUAGAGCUUGAGAGAGAACUUAAUGGAGAUAAAGAAGCUAGCAGGGUGAAAACACGGAUUGCUGGCAUUCUAGGAAAAGGAAAUACCAUUUCUGGAGACACAAAUUUAUGUAAAUGCAUGGCAUAUUUGGAGAAUAUAAAUAAUUUCUGUGAAUAAAAUACAUCAAAUUAGAUAAAUACAGCUAAAUAGUAUAAGCUUUAUCCUAAGGGUUAUGGAGAGCCAUGAAAAGGACCUCACUGCCCCACAUAUAACGUGGAAAACUCACUCAUGUGGCAGGCAGCCUAGGGAGAAUCUGGGUGGGACAUGUCUGGAACAUCACUGCACUUGCGUUAAGUAAUGACUACUGGGGUGAAGAAUGGGAAGAAAUUCAGAAGGAACUUCAUGUAUACAGGAUUUGACCUGGGUCUGUAGGUCACGGAGGCUGCAAUCAUGGAAAGCAAUGUUUGGAGUUGGCAAUAUGAAGUCCCAGUGUUUGGGGUCGUUCAGGAAAUGCUCAUAAGGGAACAGGAGGAAGAAGAGCAGCUUCUCUGUCCCGAGGCUAACACACCCAAUCCAUGCCUGGUGCUCACACAGACCUUCUGUCCACAGCACUGUGCGGCAUCAGC
rnacentral:lncRNA from 10 species